rnacentral:lncRNA from 1 species
UUUGUUUUCUCCAGCAUGAAUAGAGAGGGGAUUUUUUUUCCCAGUUUUUCACUUCAGUUUUUCAUUUUUCGGUUCCGAGGGUUGCGUUAUUUUUCAAACCGCGGAAAGCGUAGCGGCCAGCGGGGAACGCGAUGCCACAUGAACUGACACACAAAGCUGUCUGCAUUAUGAAGAAGACCACAGAAUACCUGGGAACAGAGAACUCCCAAAAAAAGACCUCCAGUUUGAGAUGGCUCCGCAAACACAACUUGAGCAUACAGUUGCUUUCAUGAAGCUAGUGACUCUAUUGAGAGAGGUGAAAUAUUUCCUGAUGUUGAACCAAGCCAGUAUUCUAGAUUCUGCUUUAGCAAUGUAUGAGAAAAGGAACAGUUUUGCAAAGGUAGAAUAUCCUCUGACAGAAAAAGAGCUGAAAGCUACUGAUGACCAGCUGAAAAAAGCAGAAGAAAUGCAUGUGGCAGAUGGCAACCUGCUGGGACUGUAUCAAACAAGUGAAAACGUCAGCGUGCGAUUUAGAGCAAAGAGUUCAGCAAUCAAACGAUAAUGUUAGAACAGUCCAUCAGAUUAUGAAUGGUUGGAUAGAACAUGCCCUCUUUUUCAGGAAAGAUGAAAAAAGAAGCUUUAUUAAACCUGUAUGACAAAGAAGAAAGAAUUGCUAAAAGAUAAAAAAUACUACAGAAAGAUAGCUACCAGAUCCAACAUCUUGUAGAGGUAAUAGAUGUGUUGUUUAAAUGACCAUCUGAUUUUAUUUUGUAAAGUGUAUUUCUGGCAAUGACUGUUAUUCAUAACCACACUUUGUCGAUCGCUAUCAUGUGAGAAAAGUCUUUUAGUUAUGGCUGAAUGAGCUGUAUUUUGAUGUGGUGAUAUGGGUGUUAAAUAUUUGACUAUUAAUACUCAGAUUCACUUGUGUGUUUUUGCUAAUUACUUGUGUCAUUAUACAAACCACAUAAAAGUUCUUUAAGACUGACAUAUGUGAAGACAAAUAGGGAGAAGACAGAACAGUCUUUGCAACAUUUGAAAAGCACUUUAGUGCUUUUUUAAGUUGGUAGAUUGGGAAUGACUGACUAGUGCAGUCAUGAUAGUUCUGCUGUCUCAUUUUUCUUACCCUGAUCUAUGUUGUUUCUGUGACCUCUAUAGGUAAAAUCAUUUCUGCAGCUGGAGAAAUCACCCAUAAAUUCCUUCUUGCACUGGAUAUGUUGUGAAAUACUUUUGAUUUGAAAUCUGAAUAUUGCUUGUUUAUUUGCUUAAUUAAAAAUACACUUCAGAUACCCUUUGAUUUAGUAUUCAUAAGUAAACAGAAAAAUUAAGUUAAUAUCCUUAAAUAUAAGCUGCUGUGUUAUGUGACUACCGGUGAUAGUGAUACAGUGCUUCUGAAUCAAAGGCCUUAAUAUGAACAAGACAGAAACAUAGAAGCAGGGAUUUUUUUGUCUCUUUGACCCAUUUUUGCUAAUUUUUCUUGAAGAGACCUGCUUGUCUAUUUCUAGUGCAAGAUGCACGUGAAUUUUUCUGUCCGUUAUCAACAUUAAACUUAGUGUUUGUAUCUG